GUCUGACCGAGCACGCCGCGUGAGUGAAGAAGGUUUUCGGAUCGUAAAACUCUGUUGUUAGAGAAGAACAAGGAUGAGAGUAAAAUGUUCAUCCCUUGACGGUAUCUAACCAGAAAGCCACGGCUAACUACGUGCCAGCAGCCGCGGUAAUACGUAGGUGGCAAGCGUUGUCCGGAUUUAUUGGGCGUAAAGCGAGCGCAGGCGGUUUCUUAAGUCUGAUGUGAAAGCCCCCGGCUCAACCGGGGAGGGUCAUUGGAAACUGGGAGACUUGAGUGCAGAAGAGGAGAGUGGAAUUCCAUGUGUAGCGGUGAAAUGCGUAGAUAUAUGGAGGAACACCAGUGGCGAAGGCGGCUCUCUGGUCUGUAACUGACGCUGAGGCUCGAAAGCGUGGGGAGCGAACAGGAUUAGAUACCCUGGUAGUCCACGCCGUAAACGAUGAGUGCUAAGUGUUGGAGGGUUUCCGCCCUUCAGUGCUGCAGCAAACGCAUUAAGCACUCCGCCUGGGGAGUACGACCGCAAGGUUGAAACUCAAAGGAAUUGACGGGGGCCCGCACAAGCGGUGGAGCAUGUGGUUUAAUUCGAAGCAACGCGAAGAACCUUACCAGGUCUUGACAUCCUUUGACCACUCUAGAGAUAGAGCUUCCCCUUCGGGGGCAAAGUGACAGGUGGUGCAUGGUUGUCGUCAGCUCGUGUCGUGAGAUGUUGGGUUAAGUCCCGCAACGAGCGCAACCCUUAUUGUUAGUUGCCAUCAUUUAGUUGGGCACUCUAGCGAGACUGCCGGUGACAAACCGGAGGAAGGUGGGGAUGACGUCAAAUCAUCAUGCCCCUUAUGA
rnacentral:rRNA from 1 species